rnacentral:lncRNA from 1 species
GCUUUGCUGGUAAUGGUUCGCCUCGGUGUUCGCAUUGUCUAACGUAUUACGAAUUUUGGCAAGGUUGUACGUAUAGGCUGCCGUAAACGUUUCAUAGUAUUACAAGAUAUCAGGCAGGUGUACUUGAACAGCAAUAACAAAGUAGAUAAUUGUACACAUCCAGACAUUGCAAACCCCAUGGACUUUGCAAGGCGUUUCAAAUAGUGUUCGGUAAUUUCCCGUUUUCUUAUUGUUAAUUUUGGGAAUACGAACCUUAGAAGCUUCCAAUGUGGGACAGGAUUGUGUGAAGCUACCCUAUGAACCCCCCUCCCAAUCCACAACGCUUCAUUGCAUUUCUUUGAUGAGACUUGGAUGUACUAUUCAUAUAUCAUUUUCGAUGUUUUCGUCGAGAAGAUA